rnacentral:lncRNA from 1 species
GGAGGGGUGAGGAGAUAGGGUGUUUCCAUAGGGGAAACUGGGAAAAGGGACAACAUUUGAAAGGUAAAUAAAGAAAAUAUCCAAUAAAAGAAAAGUUUAAAAAAAAAAAAGAAGAAAACCACUCAAAAUGAUGGAAGAAAACUGGAGAAUUUUAAUAAGUUCGUCUUUUACCUGUCACAGCCUAUUUUAAAUGCUUUGAAAGUCUUGUGAAAACCUCAUUUUAUUCUGUCUUCCUUCCUUCCUUCCUUCUUCCUUACCUUCUUCCCUCCCUCCCUCCUUCCUUUUUCCUUCCUUCCUUCUUUCCUUCCUUUCUUCCAUUUUGCCUUCUUACUGUAUCCUAAAACAUUCUCUGGGCAAUCAAUUUCAGAAGUGUUUCAAGGAGUCUGUCUGCCUUUUUGCUGCAAAGUAUGUGGAUUCCCACUGUUGAGUGGCUGCCCACGGAAAUAAGGAAACACGUAUUGUUGCCAUUAUCUGGAUAAAGGAAACACCUGAGUUGGAUGAAUGAGGCUGCGUUGCUCUUAAGAAUGGCAGUCCUGAGAAGUGAUGAAGCUGUGGCAGCAGGACUUAACAUCAGGUCUAUUCAUCACUGUGCUUUUCCCCUAAUUUGUCCACAACGAAGAUGCCAAGUGAGAGAUGAGCAAGCCCCGAUAAGUUUGGAUGCAAGAAUCACAGCCUGUUAGGUACAAGCAAUAAAAUUGAGGCAGCUUAGGGACUCCAUUAAGUACACAGUGUUUAGGCAUACCACGUCCCUAGGUAGUAGGGGCGCUGUUGAGGAGGGCGUUACACAAUAAAAUAAUUGGGCUUGGGAAAUCAACGGGGCUUCCAUGGCCUCACAUCUCCUUGUUGGGGACCAGGGGGAAGGAGAUACACUCCCCAACACAUACUUUUAGCAUAAAAGCUACACUGAAUGAAGUAGCAGGAAGUUUCUCACCGAGUCGACGGGCUGCCAAUAUAUUUUGAAUACUAAAAAACAAUGGAUAUAAUUAAAUUUUGUACAGCUCAGGAAGGAUUCAGGUCACGUCAUGGCCUGGAAACGAUCGCAUGCCUUGCUACUCUCUAGGCAUCCGGGUAUUUGUUUGGAGCAGCCAAAUAGAAAUCAUACAGAUUUGAUUAGCUAUGGCAAAAUCUACAGGGACUUGUACGCAUGUAUUGAUGUUCACAGACUAGGUCCUUAAAUAAAGCACCAUUCCAUGUGUUCCAGUGCUCAGGAAUGAGUUAAAAUAUGCAGUGUGGAUUAGCUUGGCUUCUUCCAUGAGGCUUUUCAGACUCAAACUUUUGUGGUCCUUGGUUGACUAUAACUAACAGCUCAGUGGUCCAGGUGUAGCUUCUCCUUGAUCUUUUGAGGCCAGCAAAUCUGCUAUGAUAAUAACUUAGAGGUUCUCAUAGUCCUUGUAUUCCCACUCAGGAAAGAUGUGUUUUGUUUUUAGUUAUGUGUGUGUGUGUGUGUGUAUGCAUGUGGGUGUAUGUAAAUGUAUAUAUGAUCACAGUACACACAGAUACCACAGUAUGUUGUUAGAUGCCCUAGAGAUAGAGUUGAGACCAUUAUGAGCUGCCUAGCCUGAGAAGGGUGUUGAGAACUGAACUUUUCUAUGUUGUGAUAGUGUCUACAGUUCUUAGCUGGUGAGUCCUCUGUGGUAUUCUCUCGCAAGGUUGUCAUUGCUAAGUAUGUAGCUCGGUUGGGAGGCUUCUUGUGUUCACCAUGUAAAUUGGGUGCGAUAUUAUCUAUCUAUAAUCCCAUCCCUCGGGAGGAUUAGAAGGACAGUGUCAUGCUCAGUUAUAUAGAGGACUUGAGGAUAGUUUUUGCUAUAUUAGACCCUGUCCCCAAAAUGAAAGGUUUUCUUUAUGCUUAGCAUGUGUAGUAGUCGUUAGGAACUGAUGUACUGAAUGAGGGGAAAAAAGAAUACCAAAUUUGAAAUUUCUUCCUAUGUGACAUUACUUUUUAGCUAACUAUUUUUGUUCCUAGACAGACACACUCAUAUACAUUCGUUACACGGUGAUCAAGAAGUAUUUAGUUUGCUAUAAACUAGCUAUUACCUUUUCUUUGACUAUCAGUUUUCUCAUAAAAAUUAGAGAAUAUAUAAUUGACAAAAUUUUCUACUCAACACACAUAUACACACUUAUUAUUCCUACUUGUAAAGACACUGUGCUAAUCUUAGGUUUUUUUUCAUUUUUGUGUCUGCACAAACGUAUGUGUAUAUAUAUGUAUGUACACACAUGCAUCAUAUGUAUAUUCAUGCUAAAAUACAAUAGUUUUCACUCAUUUUCUAAACACUUUCUGCUAAUUGAUAGAAAAUGGUGAUCCCCCAUGCUCACCCCCACCCUGUUCUCCUUUAAGAGAAUCAUAUUGCUCUUUGAACAAACCUAAGCUUUGCUCAUUACGUUGUCUGAAUUAUAAAAGGACUUUCUUAGUUAACUCUUUAGGGGAAACUCGUGCUCAGCUAAUACCAGAUGGCUUGCCUGGAUGUUUGGAGAACUGCGGGAUGGAGAGACCUAGUGUAUUCUCUCAGCAGCAGUGUACAACACGUGAAUUGAGGAACACAGCCUGCCUGUUACAUACUAAUCCACUUUGCAUUAUCUUUGCUUUGUCUGGGGUGGGGAUGCAAGAAGAUAUGAGAGAGGGGUGCAAAAGAAGAAGAGAGGGGUUGGUCUGUAGCUCAGUACAAUGGGGUAACAAAGCAGGAUGGCUUUGUAAAUACCCAAGGAUAGCUUAAGCGUAAAAGACGUAAAGAUUUGUUUUUAAGUUACAGGUACAUGUGUGUGCUGGUGUGUGGGUAUGUGCAUUUGUGUGUAAAUGCCCUCAGAAGACAAAGGAGUUGGAUCCCCUGAAGCUGGGGUUACUCAUGGUGCAAACCACACCAGUUGGGUGCUGGAAGUCCAUUCAGAACUUCCUGAAGAGCAGCGAGUGCUGCUACCCAGUGAGCUAUCUCUCCAGCCUAAGGAUAAAGGUCUUCAUUGCCUUCUCAGUAAUGGGAAUGAGCUGCUAAUUGUGCCAACUUUCCCUCGAAUCCUUAGGAAACUGACGACCAGAUGUCUUACGUACUGUCCCCAGGGCUAUUUAGACAAACCCUAAGGAUUUAAAUCCACACCUUUUCCUUGAUCAUGCAGGGGAGGCACAGGCAACUGUGUAACUUCUGAGAGGGAAAAACUCAGUCCUGGCUAGCUGUAUCAGGGAUGACUUCUUGGGGGAGGUGGCUUCUACACUGGGCUUUAAACACGAUAAAGUUGAACUGGAUAUCUGCUAGAGCAAGAACUGGAGGGUUCAGUUCAGCAUAAUGAACCUUAAAGGCCAUCUGUUCUGGACCUCUAAUUUGCAAAGGACGAAACUGGGAUCUGGGAGGUUAGGCGACUUGCUGUAGGACAUAUGGCUAAUUAAUUGGCUUUCGAUCUGUUCUCCUGGGUCCUUUGACCAGUGCUAUUUCUCCACCGUUUAUGCACACCAGCUUUCAUUCAGCAGGCUUUUCACGACUGGUGCAUAAUGGCGUUUCCGAACGGGUUUCAGUCAGAAAUGGAAACUUCCUCGUGUAUCUGUGUGGGAAGAUAUUAGCUAGGACAGACUUGGGGCAGACAUGGACAGGAGACAUUAGGAUGUCUACAUUAGGACAUGUAGAAUGUUAGCUUCCUAUCUUUUUCUAUAAUUUUGUUAUUGCUUGUUCUGUUUCCUUUUAUAAAUACAAGCAUAGAAACAAAAAUACUGUGGGAAAAAUGAUAUAACACUCUACCACCACAUAUUAGAUUUAUCAACCUCCUAAGAAAGUGACCUUGGGCCUGAGCCAGUGGCUCAGUUGGGAAAGUGCUUGCUAGGCAAGGACAAAGACUUCCUCUCAAUUCCUAGAAUCU